UUUGGAUGAAGAGCAAUCAUAGUUGCAUAGGGUAUAAUAGUGUUUUCUGAUAAAGGAAAAAUACCUUUUUUUUUUUCUUUUCUUCAUUCUAAUGUUCUUCAAGAAUGAUUCUCCUUCCAACAGUUUGAUUUCAACAGAAAAGGUACUUUUUCUUUGGCUUGUUGGGCUCCCCCAGACCCCAGAAGGAAGGUGCUAUCAGAUAUUGGAUCUCUGUCAAUGAAGUUGCCUUGCCCAUGCUUAAGACAGAGGAGGUGCAGUCCAGCUCAGAGCACAAGCGUUGACUGAGAGACUUGAAGUCAGCUGAAAGAACUUAUCCUGUGAAGGAGAGGAACCUCCACAAAGGACAUUUGUGAACAGUGAUGACAACAGAAGGAGGAGGUAUGUGAGUGGCACACAAUCUUUACUGGAUAUGGAAGCAAAUAAGAAACCACAACUAAAAGAAAUCAGAUCCACCGUGGAUAACAGCCUAGGGCUCAGCAUUGUGAGGACUACAGGUUAUAAACAUCUCAGACACCAUUGCCACCUUCACAAAUAAAACA